ACGAUGGGAAAUAACCCUUUUUUUAGCAACACCUCAAUAAAAAUCUAUUGAUACAAGUAAAGUUUUAGUAGAAGGUAAUUAUCCAUAAUAUCAGAAACCAGUGGUAGCAUAAAAUAAAAUUAUAGUUCGAAAAUAUGUGUAUUGGAACUGAAGAACGAUGAUGGGAGAGGAGCUAGAAAGCUUGAGUUUGAUGAAUUGUAGGAGUUGGAGCAUUAACGAACUGAAGGGAUAUCGUCUGUCAACGAUGAAAAGGUAUUUGUAACUUAAUUUUUGUCUUGACAAUGUUUUGGAUUCUUGACUAACUUCAUUACUCACAACUUUAGCAUUUGCUUGAUAAUGAAUCUUUAAAAUGAAAUUCUUUGAAAAUU
rnacentral:lncRNA from 1 species